GCGGAUAUGGUCAAAUGGAAAAUUUCUCUU
rnacentral:tRNA from 1 species